CGCUCCUCUCCUCUACCCUAUACUAGUCUGUUUGGCACUAGCACAUUUUGCUGUACCUCGAAAGAGGCUCAUUGUCGUGUGCAAGAUAUGUUUGUGCCAAGCCAGAUUGGAGGGUGCAGCCAUCGAAUAAUACC
rnacentral:precursor_RNA from 15 species